GUGAAUCAUCGAAUUUUUGAACGCAAAUUGCACUCUCUUCGGAGAGUAUGUCUGUUUGAGGGUCAGUCUAAAAAAAAUCGACAUAGUUGAUGUUUCGAGGUGACAUUCGUAGUAAAUUUGGUAAUAUUAAGCCUUUUGGUUUUAAGCGGCUUAAAAUUUUCUUUACGAUUCCACGAACGUUUCUAAGAUUUAUUUACACGUUUAAGGUAUUGAUUUUUAUUAGAUGUUGACGUUGCAUGGUGUCG
rnacentral:misc_RNA from 1 species